UACGUAGGGGGCAAGCGUUGUCCGGAUUUAUUGGGCGUAAAGAGCGUGUAGGCGGCCUGAAAGGUCAGCUGUGAAAACUCGAGGCUCAACCUCGAGACGUCGGUUGAAACCAUCUGGCUAGAGUCCGGAAGAGGAGUGUGGAAUUCCCGGUGUAGCGGUGAAAUGCGCAGAUAUCGGGAAGAACACCCGUGGCGAAGGCGGCACUCUGGGACGGUACUGACGCUGAGACGCGAAAGCGUGGUGAGCGAACAGG
rnacentral:rRNA from 1 species